CCUCCUCUGAAAGCCAAAGGGAACAAUUACAUCAUUAGAAGAGCCAUGGACCGGUCACCUCCUACUGUGUGCUUGGCACUGUGCUGGGCACUGCGUAGCACCAUUCAGUUCGUGGGACAAUCUCACGAGGAAGUUCUUUUAGCACUCGCAUUGUACAGACAAAGAAACUGAGCCUACGAGGACAUUCCUUCAACAGAUUUAUUAAGUGCCAGGCUCUACUCUGCGGUGGAGCAAACCAGACAAUGAAGGAGACUGCAAUCCAGGGGAGGAAGAAUGAUGACAAGAAAGAAAGAAAGAAGUAAAUAAAUCAGGUCAUUCCAGAAAGUGACAAGUGUCAUGAAGGGAAUAAAUGGGCUGUGUCGAGUCAGAGCAGGGGCUUGAUAAACUACGGCCCUUGGACCAAAUGCGGCCCACCACCUGUUGUUGUAAAUAAAGUUUCAUUGGAACAUGGCUAUGCCCAUUUGGAUACAUAUUGUUUAUGGCUGUUACCACAGCACAGCUGAGUAGCUGAGACAGAGAUUGUAUAUGGCCCACAAAGCUGAAAAAUUUGCUAUCUAUCUAGCCCUUUACAAUAAAAGCUUGCUGAUUCCUGGG